GCUGUUGGUUGGUGGGUGAGCAGUUGGAUUAAGUUGUUUCUCACUGACUUGGACUUUCCCAACCUGUUGAACCUCAAAAUAGAAAGAACAGGCUUCUGAGAAAUGGCAAAAACAAAAUAUAAGAUAAAAUAAAGACCAUCAAUUUGAAGUUGGGCAAAUCAAACAAACGGAAAGAAAAAAAGCCUGGGAGAAGUCACAAGAAUCAGAGACCCCUUCACUCAAACACACUCAGAAGCCCCAUAAAAAUACCAAAGGACUGAAAGUCAUAGUAGAUAUGCAGAGGACCUGGUACAGACAUGCUCAGUCCCCGUACAUGCUGCUUCAGUAUCUAAGUUCAUAUGAGCUUGUUCACUUGAAUUAGAAGGCCUUGCUCUCCUGCUGUCCUCCACUUCAUCUGGCUCUUAAAUUCUUUUUGCCUUUUCUUCAGUAGGGUUACCUAAGCUUUGACUGAAAUGUCCCAUUUAGAGAUGAGUGUUCCUAUUCUCUCUCUCUCUCUCUCUUGCGAAGCUGUGAUGCUCACGUUAUGAUGCCUACUACCUAUGAAAGAAGAAAAAACAGUCAUGAAGCUCUGAAGCAUUGAAAAGAUACUUCUAGAGUGAACCAUGGCACUCUAGCAGGAAAAUAAAUUCAAAUUUGCAAUGCUGUGGACUACUGGGCACUCUGGAAUAGCACUGGCUGCUUCCUAUGCAGAUGAAUCAACAGGGAUUUAGUGAGCUUUUACCUAACUCGUGCUUAAUGCAUGAAAUAAGCAGUUUUUAGAAUUUCUGGGCCUAUGUACAGGGGGGGGGGGCUUUCUUUAUAUAUGGAAGCCAAGUGGAUUCUGGGAAUAUGGUGGCUGUUGCCUUGACAACAGGUGUGCUGGUCCCACCUAUGUGAUGUCAUGGGAUCUGGUACCAACAUACCUCCCUUCUUGCUAUUAUAAAGAGAAGGAGGGAAAUCAGGGAGGGAGAAGCCGAUGAUGAAAAGGUCCUCUCAGCUUCUGUCUCCGUCUUAAAUCAGCUGAUCUACACAAGAGAGAAAAUAGAAAUGCCUACGCAGAGACCAUGGCAUCCAUCCUCUAGCUUCAGGCCCAGGAAACACUCCAAAAGGGGAAGAGAGGUUGUAAAAGCCAGAAAAGAAAAUCUACCAUGAGACAAUGUCUCUUAGAAAUGACAUGGAAGUUUCACCCAUGAUACUUCAACAAAAGAGCUGCCUAAAUAUUCCUUAAAGUAUACUACUAAUAGACACACUAACAAGGAAGAAGAAGAAAUCUCCACAACCACAAACAACAACACUAAAACCUGACACAAGGCAACUAAGGAAUGAUGAGACUAGAAGUAGUCUUCCCUGUGGGAUCAAUUCCUUAAUUGCUUAUCUAUUAUCACAUGGUCAACCCUGAAAUCAUAUAUAAACAAGCAACACUUGAACUCAAUGAACUCAGCAAGUUGUAUUUAUUAUAUUUAAGUACUGAUAACAAGUAUACAUGGAUGUGACAAUAAUUGAGUAAAAUAGGCCAUGAGUUUGAGAGGGACAAAUGUGAAGGAGACCUUGAAGGCAAUGUAAUUCCUUAAACAAAACUAUAACAAGACUAGUCUUCUCAUUACUAGUUUUAAAUACACAUAUUAUUUCACGAUGGUCAGCAGUUACUACAAUAUAUGAAAUCUGGAAAAUCUAAAUCUGAUUAAUCUGAAUAUACAGUAUAUCCACAUAUACUGAAAAGACUACAUCAGCACCUUUCCAACUAGCGAUAACUGGUGGUCUUUCCUUUCCCAGGCUUGGGUUCCUUGCUGGCUUGAAAGACCCUGUUGAAGCAUAGGCUAAUGAGCCUCUUCAUAAGAAAAAAUGUCUAUGCUGCUUCCUCCUCCAGUCUUCAGCUUCUCCUCUGACCAUCCAGGAUCAGGCUAAGGAGGAGGAUCACAAUAGACUAGGAGCUGACUCUGAAGCCUAAGCUAUGCUGCCCAGACUGAUUCUCCUUGCUCAGUCGAAAAUACUG
rnacentral:lncRNA from 1 species